GCAGCAGGUGACUGGGAUGUCUGUAGUCGAUAGUUCGGUAGUUAAGGGGUAGACGGUUGAAUGGUUGGUUAUGUUAGAUAUAGCUUCCACGGAGGUGCUGGAUUUACGAUAUACAUGCUGGACUUGACUUUUUUGAGGGAAUUUUCCCGAAGGGGCGGUUCUGUAGCAGCGGGCAUUGAGAACUUUCCAUCCCUCCCUCUCUCUCCCUCACGGCUGGUAGCGGUGCUUGGGCGUAUCCAACUGUCCAUAAAUGCCCCCUGGCCGCACUCCCCUGGCCUCGCGUACAUGUUUUCUGUCCGAAAACCCGGAAUCGUUGUCAGCACGCAGCUCAAGACGGACCCUGCCUGUCAGCUAACGACUGU
rnacentral:lncRNA from 1 species